CCAUGCAGGAUAAAGAAAUUUGGGGUGGCAUUGACUGUAACAGAGGUCAACCUUUUGUUGAAUAUAAAAGGUUAUUUGGAUACAAUAAAAGCAGAGGCUUAGUUAUGAAAAAUGGGAUACUUCAUGGGAAUCUAGUAUUUUACCCCUUAGUG